UACGGGGGGAGCAAGCGUUGUUCGGAUUUACUGGGCGUAAGGGGCGCGUAGGCGGCCACCGCAAGUCGACUGUGAAAUCUCCGGGCUUAACCCCGGAAAGGUCAGCCGAUACUGCGGGGCUAGAGUGCAGAAGGGGCAACUGGAAUUCUCGGUGUAGCGGUGAAAUGCGUAGAUAUCGAGAGGAACACCUGCGGCGAAGGCGGGUUGCUGGGCUGACACUGACGCUGAUGCGCGAAAGCUAGGGGAGCGAACGGG
rnacentral:rRNA from 1 species